UAAGGAAUAUUGCUCAAUGGGAGAAAUCCUGAAGCAGCAACACCGCGUGGAGGAUGAAGGGUCUAUGACUUGUAAACUCCUGUAAAGAAGGAAAAAAUUCCCAUUUGAUGGGAGAUGAUGGUACUUCUGGAGUAAGCCCCGGCUAACUACGUGCCAGCAGCCGCGGUAAUACGUAGGGGGCAAGCGUUGUCCGGAUUUACUGGGUGUAAAGGGUGCUCAGGCGGAUUUGUAAGUCAGAGGUGAAAUCUUACAGCUUAACUGUGAAACUGCCUUUGAUACUGCAAGCCUAGAGUAUGGAAGAGAGUUAUGGAAUAUCUGGUGUAGCAGUGAAAUGCGUAGAUAUCAGAUAGAACACCUAUGGCGAAGGCAGUCACUUGGUCCAUUACUGACGCUAAAGCACGAAAGCGUGGGUAGCAAACA
rnacentral:rRNA from 1 species